GAAGUUGCGGAUGCCGUGGCUGAACAUAGAGUCCAGGUAGCCACUCCAGGCACGGGCCACGGCGGCGCCACCGAUGAUGUAUUCGAGGAGAACAUUCCAGCCGAUGAGGAAGGCCCACAGCUCGCCCAUGGAUACGUAGGUGAACAGAGUCUCACUGUCACCCAGACUGGAGUGCAGUGGCAUGAUCUCGGUUCACUACAACCUCCGCCUCCUGGGUUCAAGGGAUUCUCCUGCCUCAGCCUCCUGAGUAGCUGGGAUUACAGGCGUACAGAGUUUCACUUUACUCGUCCAGGCUGGAGUGCAGUGGUGUCAUCAACCCUUACUGCAUCCUGUAACUCCUGGGCUCAAGAGAUCUUCCUGCCUCAGCCUCCCAAGUAGCUGGGACUAUAGGCUGCAACUACCAUGCCUGGCGUCAACCAGAAUAUUACAACAGCCUGCUGCUUCUAGUACUGAAGAUCUAGGGGAGAGCUGGGCCCCGCACCUGCCCAGGAUGGAGAGGAGCCUUCGGAAAUGCAGUUUCUCUGGCCUGGUUUCUCAACCCAUCCCUUUUUCUACCAGAAACCU
rnacentral:antisense_RNA from 1 species